UACAGAGGUCUCAAGCGUUGUUCGGAUUCAUUGGGCGUAAAGGGUGCGUAGGCGGCGCGGUAAGUCGGAUGUGAAAUCCCUGGGCUCAACCCAGGAACUGCGUCCGAGACUGGGAGGCUUGAAUCCGGGAGAGGGAUGCGGAAUUCCAGGUGUAGCGGUGAAAUGCGUAGAUAUCUGGAGGAACACCGGUGGCGAAGGCGGCAUCCUGGACCAAUUCUGACGCUGAGGAGCGAAAGCGUGGGGAGCAAACAGG
rnacentral:rRNA from 1 species